AUUGAACGCUGGCGGCAGGCUUAACACAUGCAAGUCGAGCGGAGAUGAGGUGCUUGCACCUUAUCUUAGCGGCGGACGGGUGAGUAAUGCCUAGGAAUCUGCCUAUUAGUGGGGGACAACAUUCCGAAAGGAAUGCUAAUACCGCAUACGUCCUACGGGAGAAAGCAGGGGAUCUUCGGACCUCGCGCUAAUAGAUGAGCCUAAGUCGGAUUAGCUAGUUGGUGGGGUAAAGGCCUACCAAGGCGACGAUCUGUAGCGGGUCUGAGAGGAUGAUCCGCAACACUGGGACUGAGACACGGCCCAGACUCCUACGGGAGGCAGCAGUGGGGAAUAUUGGACAAUGGGGGGAACCCUGAUCCAGCCAUGCCGCGUGUGUGAAGAAGGCCUUAUGGUUGUAAAGCACUUUAAGCGAGGAGGAGGCUACUGAGACUAAUACUCUUGGAUAGUGGACGUUACUCGCAGAAUAAGCACCGGCUAACUCUGUGCCAGCCGCCGCCGUAA
rnacentral:rRNA from 1 species